CGGAUAAGCCGAUUUUUCGGAUAACCCGGAUUUAUGGCCGCCAUUUUGAUCGCCGCCAUUUUGAUUUUGAAACCAAACAAACACACGCUACGCUAAACAAAGUAGUACGCUUAAAACAUGUGAUGUAAAUGUUUUAUUGUAUGUUUGUCUGUGUGUCUCCUUGUCUGGACCAGUGUAUGUUGAUACUUGUGAGCGUUGCAGAUCUGAAUUGUGAAUGUUGCAGAGUGCGAUUGUGAAUGGUUGUGCAAGCUUGCAAGUGUGACCUUGAUGCAUCGUGCAGGUGGAGACACAGUAUGAUGACUCAUAUUAUCGCGCAACUCGUAUGUUGGAAGGGGAAUGUGGCAUGGAGUGGAGAGGGGAGUCGUGUUUGUGUCGUUGUCUUGAGAGUACGGUGUGAGAGUAGUCGUGCACCUACGUCCUUGCUGGGGCGAAGGUGGUGGUGGACGGCAAACAUUGUGGAAGCAGUCCUCUGAGUCAUGGGGAGGACAACGCCACAACAGACUGGAUAAUGCAAGUGAAGGCCACGAGAGAGAAGGGGAGAGAGGACCAGGGAAUGAUCCGAUGUUUUGCUGCCCCCCUCACUGAGACAAGCCGCUAGACCCACCCAUCGGCAAGUGUUCCAGGAGGCAAGAAGGAGCAUGGGAGUGACUCUACAGCAUGGAACUUUGACAGACCUCCUCCCCCUGCCUUCAAGUCUGGCCAAAGUGUGCGGUGUGCCGCUUGACCAAGACAAGACGCCAGAGAUGUCCGUUCAGCCAUUCAAUUCUGCCGAGGGAAAGAAGUCAUGUUAGUCAACUCUGAUGACCUGUACUUCUCUCUAUGGUCUCUGCUAGGGACUGCUCUGUAAGCCAAUCACAGAUGUGAACUGUAUCUGUACUAUGAAGUCUUAUAAAUAAAGUUAAGGGCCACA